AUCCUUUCUUUGUGGAGUUUCCUUUCUGAGCCUGGAUCUUCAGGCACAGCCCUGCUUUUGGGGAGUGAUUUUUGAGAUUCUCUGCAGUCUUGGUCGCCACUUGGGUCUACAACCCCAACCCCACUGAUUUGCUUGGGAUGUUAUUUUCAGACGUCUCUCGGUUGCGUUUUAACCUUGGAAUUUACAGUGCUUCGUAAGUCAAUCCUACGUUGACUGGAUUGAUAGAGACUGUAAAACAGCAUUGUUAUUUCAUGGUCGAUUGUUGACCAUGUUUACUAGUUGUAGCAGUUGUCACUGGACAGUGCGGAACUUUUCAGAUGUGACCUGGAAAAUGAGUCAUUUUUUGGCAUGAGCAGAAAAAGCUGAGUUACUGGGAUCAUUCACAGUGAUACAGGUUGAACAUUGGGACUUCGGAAGCCAUCUUGGAAGAGGUUAAAUGAUGCCAUGAGAAAUUCUGGCCAGCAUACAGCCUUUCUAAAAGCUCUGCUUUCUUUAGCCACGAACUCAUUUGCUUUGUAGCUUUCUGUUCACCUUUAGUGUCUGAUUUCGUAGUCGGUGAAGUUCAGCAGCAGAACUCAGACCACAUCUGUUGUGCCACUCAUACUUCAAAAGGACAUGAAAUAGCUUUCACAUCUCCACCUCCCUACUAAAAUCUCUCCUACCUUUUGGUUUCUUGCAUUAGAAGGGAAGGAAUGUGCCUGAAACAGUCAGUUUUUUCUUCUUUUCAUAUUGUUUGAUGAGCUUGGCUAUCUGAUCUCAUUGUGUUACUGAAUAUGGCUUCAUUAGCCACAAAAAGUGCUAUCUACAAGGAAGAAAAUAUGCCCUCUGCUGACUUCAUAUGUGGCUAGAAUUUAAAAAGCUGCUGUCAGAGUACC